UUGUAGCGCAAUGGAUAUCGCGUUGGACUUCUAAUCCAAAGGUUGUAGGUUCGAAGCCUAUCCGCGAAA